GAAUGCUGACAUAAGUAACGAUAAAGCGGGUGAAAAGCCCGCUCGCCGGAAGACCAAGGGUUCCUGUCCAACGUUAAUCGGGGCAGGGUGAGUCGACCCCUAAGGCGAGGCCGAAAGGCGUAGUCGAUGGGAAACGGGUUAAUAUUCCCGUACUUGGUGUUACUGCGAAGGGGGGACGGAGAAGGCUAUGUUGGCCGGGCGACGGUUGUCCCGGUUUAAGCGUGUAGGUGUGUGUUCCAGGUAAAUCCGGUUCACUUUAACACUGAGGCGUGACGACGAGGCACUACGGUGCUGAAGCAACAAAUGCCCUGCUUCCAGGAAAAGCCUCUAAGCAUCAGGUAACAUCAAAUCGUACCCCAAACCGACACAGGUGGUCAGGUAGAGAAUACCAAGGCGCUUGAGAGAACUCGGGUGAAGGAACUAGGCAAAAUGGUGCCGUAACUUCGGGAGAAGGCACGCUGACACGUAGGUGAAGUGAUUUACUCAUGG
rnacentral:rRNA from 2 species